GGUCGCAUUGUAAUUUGUAGAAGAUGCUUUGGGUGUUGGGCUAGGUCUAAGUUCCUUGGAACAGGACGUCAUAGAGGGUGAGAAUCCCGUAUGUGAUUAGUGCCAGCCCCCGUGUAAAGCUCUUUCGACGAGUCGAGUUGUUUGGGAAUGCAGCUCAAAAUGGGUGGUAAAUUUCAUCUAAAGCUAAAUAUUGGCCAGAGACCGAUAGCGCACAAGUAGAGUGAUCGAAAGAUGAAAAGCACUUUGGAAAGAGAGUUAAACAGUACGUGAAAUUGUUGAAAGGGAAGCGCUUGCAAUCAGACUUGCAGGCAGUCGAUCAUCCGAGGUUUUCCCCGGUGCACUCGAUUGUCUUCAGGCCAGCAUCGGUUUUGGUGGUGGGAUAAAGGCUGCGGGAAUGUGGCUCUUCGGAGUGUUAUAGCCCGCGGUGCAAUGCCGCCUACC
rnacentral:rRNA from 1 species